AUUGAACGCUGGCGGCAGGCCUAACACAUGCAAGUCGAACGAGUGGCGGACGGGUGAGUAAUGUCUGGGAAACUGCCUGAUGGAGGGGGAUAACUACUGGAAACGGUAGCUAAUACCGCAUACCAUCGGAUGUGCCCAGUUGGGAUGAGCUAGGAGGUGGGGGCACGGCUCACCUAGGCUACGAUCCCUAGCUGGUCUGAGAGGAUGACAAGCCACACGUGAACUGAGACAUGGUCCAGACGCCUACGUGAGGCAGCAGUGGGGAAUGUUGCACAAUGGUCGCAAGCCUGAUGCAGCCAUGCCGCGUGUAUGAAGAAGGCCUUCGGGUUGUAAAGUACUUUCAGCGGGGAGGCGUUACCCGCAGAAGAAGCACCGGCUAACUCCGUGCCAGCAGCCGCGGUAAUUC
rnacentral:rRNA from 1 species